rnacentral:rRNA from 1 species
GAAAUACCGCCCUUAUCCUCAUUGACGUCUAACCGCGGCCCGUGAACCCGGGCCCGGGACCCUGCGUGGUGGGUAGUUUGACUGGGGCGGUCUCCUCCCAAAUAGUAACGGAGGAGCACGAAGGUUAGCUAAUCACGGUCGGACAUCGUGAGGUUAGUGCAAUGGCAUAAGCUAGCUUAACUGCGAGACAGACACGUCGAGCAGGUACGAAAGUAGGUCAUAGUGAUCCGGUGGUUCUGUAUGGAAGGGCCAUCGCUCAACGGAUAAAAGGUACUCCGGGGAUAACAGGCUGAUACCGCCCAAGAGUUCAUAUCGACGGCGGUGUUUGGCACCUCGAUGUCGGCUCAUCACAUCCUGGGGCUGAAGUCGGUCCCAAGGGUAUGGCUGUUCGCCAUUUAAAGAGGUACGCGAGCUGGGUUUAGAACGUCGUGAGACAGUUCGGUCUCUAUCUACUGCGGGCGUUAGAAAUUUGAGUGGAUCUGACUCUAGUACGAGAGGACCGAGUUGGACCGACCGCUGGUGCGCCAGUUGU